rnacentral:rRNA from 1 species
GACAGAGGAUGCAAGCGUUAUCCGGAAUGAUUGGGCGUAAAGCGUCUGUAGGUGGCUUUUUAAGUCCGCCGUCAAAUCCCAGGGCUCAACCCUGGACAGGCGGUGGAAACUACCAAGCUGGAGUACGGUAGGGGCAGAGGGAAUUUCCGGUGGAGCGGUGAAAUGCGUAGAUCUUGGAAAGACCACCAAUGGCGAAGGCACUCUACUGGGCCAUAACUGACACUAAGAGACGAAAGCUAGGGGAGCAAAUGGG